GAUGAACGCUAGCUACAGGCUUAACACAUGCAAGUCGAGGGGAAACGUUGAGAGAGCUUGCUCUCUUAGGCGUCGACCGGCGCACGGGUGAGUAACGCGUAUCCAACCUACCCAUUACAGGGGGAUAACCUUGCGAAAGUAAGACUAAUACCCCAUGGCAUUUUUUGGUGGCAUCAUUAUAGGAUUAAAGAUUUAUUGGUAAUGGAUGGGGAUGCGUCUGAUUAGCUUGUUGGCGGGGUAACGGCCCACCAAGGCAACGAUCAGUAGGGGUUCUGAGAGGAAGGUCCCCCACAUUGGAACUGAGACACGGUCCAAACGCCUACGGGAGGCAGCAGUGAGGAAGAUUGGGCAAUGGGCGAGAGCUUGAACCAGCCAAGUAGCGUGCAGGAUGACGGCCCUAUGGGUUGUAAACUGCUUUUAUAGGGGAAUAAAGUGAGCUACGUGUAGUUUAUUGCAUGUACCCUAUGAAUAAGGACCGGCUAAUUCCGUG
rnacentral:rRNA from 1 species